AGAAAAACGGCUCUCUCGGGUCAGGGCGUGACAAGAGGGCUGCUGGUCUGGUUGAGUCUAUUCUCUCCUCUGUACAACGACAACAUCACCUCUUUCAGGUUCUUCACAGUGCGCACCACUGAACAGCUCGAGCUUUAGAGCAAUCAACCAUUUGUUCGGAUGGAGAAGGUUUGCCAGACUGACGUUCAUGCUGCUAUAUUUUCUCAUUGAUGAAUGUCGGUGGGCGGAGCCGGGAGGGUCGUCAGCGAAAUGGGACACACCUGUGCUCGGCUUCUUUGUGUUCAUUUGUUUUGGCACCUCUCGACACCCUUCAUUAUCACCAUCUAUGCACGCAUCUAUGCACCAUCUAUGCAGGCUCUGCAUCUCUGUGCUUGAGGCAUCACUGCAUACACCCUGAUUUGAAUCCAGGCUGUAUCACAACCGGCUGUGAUUGGGAGUCCCAUAGGGCGACGCACAAUUAGCCCAGCUUUGUCUGGGUUUGGCCGGUAUAGGACGUCAUUACUUCUAACUCCCCAGUGGAAACACACUCUAGAGUGAUGCUGUUCCAGGGGGGUUUGGGGCAGAGUUUGUGUCGUUCGAUGGAGCGAUUGGUGGAGUUCCCUGGAGGGGUGGAAUACAUGUUUUGCCCUGCCUGCGUGCCUCUGUGGCAAUGUACUGGUUGCUGUGGAGACGAGAACCUGGAGUGCCACACCACCCUCACGCGUAUGCAGUUGAUGAGGAUAACUCCGACUGAG